rnacentral:rRNA from 1 species
CGGAUGCGAUCAUAUCAGCACUAAAGCACCGGAUCCCAUCAGAACUCCGAAGUUAAGCGUGCUUGGGCGAGAGUAGUACUAGGAUGGGUGUCCUCCUGGGAAGUCCUCGUGUUGCAUCCCUC